CCUACGGGAGGCAGCAGUGAGGAAUCUUGGUCAAUGGACGAGAGUCUGAACCAGCCAAGUAGCGUGAAGGAUGACUGCCCUAUGGGUUGUAAACUUCUUUUAUAUGGGAAUAAAAUGUUCCACGUGUGGGAUUUUGUAUGUACAAUAUGAAUAAGGAUCGGCUAACUAAGUGCCAGCAGCCGCGGGAAUACGGAGGAUCCGAGCGUUAUGCGGAUUUAGUGGGUUUAAAGGGAGCGUAGGUGGAUUGUUAAGUCAGUUGUGAAAGUUUGCGGCUCAACCGUAAAAUUGCAGUUGAAACUGGCAGUCUUGAGUACAGUAGAGGUGGGCGGAAUUCGUGGUGUAGCGGUGAAAUGCUUAGAUAUCACGAAGAACUCCGAUUGCGAAGGCAGCUCACUGGACUGCAACUGACACUGAGGCUCGAAAGUGUGGGUAUCAAACAGGAUUAGAUACCCUUGUAGUC
rnacentral:rRNA from 1 species